UCAUCAGUGUCAGGGAAGAAGGAGCUGACACAGGUCAGGAGCUGGAGAAGUGAAACUGUGGACAGGGGAUCCAUAGAGCUCGGCUUCCCCACCCAGCACCUCACUACCCGGUACCAAAACUUUGUCUGACCCUGUGCUGGGGACAGAGGGCCUUUGUCCCGGGGUCCCUGAGUCGCUCCUCGAGUCAGGAUGAAAUGCAUGACGUUUGCGGUAAAACACAGGCAGCCUUAAAAUGAAUGUUCACAGAAACAAGUGCUGUCGCAGUCCCGGUGAUUGCAUGGGGCUGCUGUGGACGCCUGCGUGGGAGGUGACUGCAAUUUUACAGCUCUGGUCAAGCCCUUUUGACACACUGUGUCAUGGGUGACUCCUUGCAGGAAGGAGUUCCUGCUCUCCUCUGCUUUCACUUUCUACUUCAGUUAUGUGUGGCUGGGGUUUGGAGACAUCAAGUCAAAACCCACAAAAACAAAAAAUUUUAAACUUGAUUUUUCUCCACACUACUGAACAGGGAUGAAACCUAGAAUCCCCAGUGUGUACCUCUGCCAUGAGAAUCACCCUCUGUCCAGUGUCCACACUGCACAGCCCUGAUGAAACCAGAUCCAGGGUCCCAGAAGCCUUUGACUUCUGGGAUUUUAAGGGUGUGGAAUAAUGGAGGAAGGAACAUGGAAACUGGGUCAGACUGACAUGUGUGCUAUGGGCCCUCUAAGUGCAGACUCUAGAUUUAAUAUGGAAGCUCUCGCAGUGUAAAAGGCAUCAAAAGAAACUUAAAAGAGUAAAUACAUUAUAUAUAAAAAAGUAUGAAUGGUUGGCUGAAGCACUUGUCAAAGAUGGCUCACUGAUAAGACAUGGAUAUGCCUGAUAUUCCUUGGCUUAGUGUUGAUGAAGGGAUUUGAAGGCUCAAGGAAAUUUCAAUGCUGGAGUGUAAGAUGCUGUGUAAAACCUAAUCCUCCACAGUGGGAAGACACACCUUUCACUGAUUCUAUAAGACACAAAGUGGUGACAGGGACACCAGCAUGCUUGAAGAUCUUUGUUGUCACCCUUUUCCUUGAGCCAGACCUCAGGGUUGGGACACUGCUGCUCAGUUGGAUUAAGUAAAGGCAAUGGGUUUAAUUAGGUCCUAAUGUAUCAGUGGCCAAAUGGCAGCAGGGGAGAACAGUGAGCACAGUGAGGGAAUACUGGACCAAAGCAGGGGCAAAACCCAGCUGGGCAAACUCCAACCUGCAUCUCCAUGUGUGAUGUCAAAGCAGUCUUCAGAUCUCCAACUCCUUUUAGCUCUGUUGACUGCUACACCCUUCUCUCUUGGGCUGGGUCCACAGAGCUUUAGCACCUGUCUUUGGGAGGUGUCCCUUGACUGUGCCAUCCCUUCAUGCAAUGGCCUCUCUGGCCUCCAUGUAGGGAUAUUCCUGACACAGCGGGCCUCCCUCAGCUGCUUUCGUUAGCUGCAGAGAGAGAUUCCACAACCCAUGGACCCCUUCUGCCUUGGAAAGGACAAUGCUUUGUUCUCCCUGGAGUAGACACUUUUUCUGGUUAUGGAUUUGCCUUUCCUGCACAUAGUGCUUCUGUCAAAACCACCGUCGGUGGACGACAGAAUGGCUGGCCCACUGCCAUGUUGCUCCACACAGCAUGGCUUCUGGCCAAGGAACUCACUUCAUAGCCAGAGAAGUGGAAGAGUAGCCCACGAUCACAGAGUCGACCAGUUUUACCAUUUAUCUCACCAUUCUGAAGCAGCUGGUCUCACAGAAAGAUGGACGGCUUAUUGAAUACACAAUUACAGAGUCAGUUUCAGAGGUUUAGUUCAUUGUCAUCAUGGCAGGCAGACAUGGUCCUGGAGAAAGAGCUGAGAGUUCUACAUACUGAACCACAGGCAACAGGAAGUGAACUGUGUCCUCACUGAGAGGAGCUGCAGUAUAGGAGACCUCAAAGCCUGAUGGACCAAGACAAAAAGACAACAACCCUCCUGGAGAACUGUCCUCAGUGAAGACCUCCCCUCUGUUCUCUGACUUCUGUGAACCAAGUCCAUCUGCAUGACUGUUGGGGUCACGAGUCUGUCCUAUCUCCUCUCAUAUGCUUUACAAUAAAGUGUCUGCAAGCAGA